CCUACGGGCGGCUGCAGUGGGGAAUAUUGGACAAUGGGCGAAAGCCUGAUCCAGCCAUGCCGCGUGUGUGAAGAAGGCCUUCGGGUUGUAAAGCACUUUCAGUGGGGAAGAAAGCCUUGGGGCUAAUACCCUCGAGGAAGGACAUCACCCACAGAAGAAGCACCGGCUAACUCCGUGCCAGCAGCCGCGGUAAUACGGAGGGUGCGAGCGUUAAUCGGAAUUACUGGGCGUAAAGCGCGCGUAGGCGGUCUGAUAAGCCGGUUGUGAAAGCCCCGGGCUCAACCUGGGAACGGCAUCCGGAACUGUCAGGCUAGAGUGCAGGAGAGGAAGGUAGAAUUCCCGGUGUAGCAGUGAAAUGCGUAGAGAUCGGGAGGAAUACCAGUGGCGAAGGCGGCCUUCUGGACUGACACUGACGCUGAGGUGCGAAAGCGUGGGUAGCAAACAGGAUUAGAUACCCUUGUAGUC
rnacentral:rRNA from 1 species